AAGGCUACUUCAAACCAUCGCGAACUCGUCCAAGUUGCUUCGGCGGCGCGGCACCCCUUAACGGGGGCGCCGCAGCCCUGCCUCUCCGGAGGUUCGGGGCGCCCGCCGGAGGUACGAAACUCUGUAUUAUAGUGGCAUCUCUGAGUAUAAAACAAAUAAGUUAAAACUUUCAACAACGGAUCUCUUGGUUCUGGCAUCGAUGAAGAACGCAGCGAAAUGCGAUAAGUAAUGUGAAUUGCAGAAUUCAGUGAAUCAUCGAAUCUUUGAACGCACAUUGCGCCCGGUAGUACUCUACCGGGCAUGCCUGUUCGAGCGUCAUUUCAACCCUCAAGCCCUGCUUGGUGUUGGGGCCCUACGGCUGCCGUAGGCCCUGAAAGGAAGUGGCGGGCUCGCUACAACUCCGAGCGUAGUAAUUCAUUAUCUCGCUAGGGAGGUUGCGGCGUGCUCCUGCCGUUAAAGACCCAUCUUUAACCAAGGUUGACCUCGGAUCAGGUAGGAAUACCCGCUGAACUUAAGCAUAUCAAUAAGCGGAGGAAAAGAAACCAACAGGGAUUGCCCUAGUAACGGCGAGUGAAGCGGCAACAGCUCAAAUUUGAAAUCUGGCUUCGGCCCGAGUUGUAAUUUGUAGAGGAUGCUUUUGGUGAGGUGCCUUCUGAGUUCCCUGGAACGGGACGCCAGAGAGGGUGAGAGCCCCGUAUAGUCGGCCACCGAUCCUUUGUAAAGCUCCUUCGACGAGUCGAGUAGUUUGGGAAUGCUGCUCAAAAUGGGAGGUAUAUCUCUUCUAAAGCUAAAUAUAGGCCAGAGACCGAUAGCGCACAAGUAGAGUGAUCGAAAGAUGAAAAGCACUUUGAAAAGAGGGUUAAAUAGCACGUGAAAUUGUUGAAAGGGAAGCGCUUGUGACCAGACUUGUGCCGGGCUGAUCAUCCAGUGUUCUCACUGGUGCACUCGACCCGGCUCAGGCCAGCGUCGGUUUUCGUGGGGGGAUAAAAGCUUCGGGAACGUGGCACCUUCGGGUGUGUUAUAGCCCGUUGCUUAAUACCUCCGUGGAGACCGAGGU
rnacentral:rRNA from 1 species